CCGAGUCUACAACUCCCAAACCCCUGUGAACAUACCUAUACGUUGCCUCGGCGGAUCAGCCCGCGCCCCGUAAAACGGGACGGCCCGCCGCAGGACCCACUAAACCCUGAAUUUUAUUGUAACUUCUGAGUAUAAAAAACAAAUAAAUCA
rnacentral:misc_RNA from 1 species